UAGGGAAUCUUCCGCAAUGGACGAAAGUCUGACGGAGCAACGCCGCGUGAGUGAUGACGGCCUUCGGGUUGUAAAGCUCUGUUAAUCGGGACGAAUGGUUCUUGUGCGAAUAGUGCAAGGAUUUGACGGUACCGGAAUAGAAAGCCACGGCUAACUACGUGCCAGCAGCCGCGGUAAUACGUAGGUGGCAAGCGUUGUCCGGAAUUAUUGGGCGUAAAGCGCGCGCAGGCGGAUUGGUCAGUCUGUCUUAAAAGUUCGGGGCUUAACCCCGUGAUGGGAUGGAAACUGCCAAUCUAGAGUAUCGGAGAGGAAAGUGGAAUUCCUAGUGUAGCGGUGAAAUGCGUAGAUAUUAGGAAGAACACCAGUGGCGAAGGCGACUUUCUGGACGAAAACUGACGCUGAGGCGCGAAAGCCAGGGGAGCGAACGGG
rnacentral:rRNA from 1 species